AAAAUUGUGACAUUCAUGAACCUGCAGGACAUCAGAUCAAGGAACUGACCAAACAACAUUCAGUAAAGCUGAGCGUGCAAUUCGAAGAGCUACACCAGAGUUUCUCGGCCGUUCUUUACUCACAACUGUUGUUGUUUCAUGGAUAGAAGUACCUGCAUUCAGUUUCGGGUCCUCACAACGGAGAAGUACGUUUCAAGUACUAAUCGGAACAGAUGGCGAGCUGACUUACGUUAUCUUUAACUAUGCGAACAUCGAGUGGGACGUCUACCGUGCUGGAAUAACUGAUAGCGAUGGCAACCAGUUAGUUGACCUCUCCGACAUCGAUCUGUUAUCAACUAGUAACUAUGGAGUGCCAGGAAGUAGGAUAUUCGAAAUUUCAGAUGCAGUGCGUGAGAUAGGGAAAGUUCAAUGUCAACCGUCCAGCCCUUGUCAGAAUGGAGGAACGUGUACGAACGAUGAAUGCUUUUGCGCCGAGGGUUUCCACGGAAACUUCUGUCAUUUAGUUCAAUGUCAACCGUCCAGCCCUUGUCAGAAUGGAGGAACGUGUACGAACGAUGAAUGCUUUUGCGCCGAGGGUUUCCGCGGAAUCUUCUGUCAUUUAGGUAAAAAAAAAAAAAAGUCAUAUCUGUAUUG